GUUGAACGCUGGCGGCGUGCCUAAUACAUGCAAGUCGAGCGAAGCGGGGACGGGUGAGUAACACGUGGAUAACCUCCUAUAAGGCUGGGAUAACUUCGGGAAACCGGAGCUAAACCGGAUUCUUAUCGAAGGAUCCGCGCUGCAUUAGCUAGUUGGUAAGGUAACGGCUUACAAAGGCAACGAUGCAUAGCCGACCUGAGAGGGUGAUCGGCCACACUGGAACUGAGACACGGUCCAGACUCCUACGGGAGGCAGCAGUAGGGAAUCUUCCGCAAUGGGCGAAAGCCUGACGGAGCCACGCCGCGUGUGUGAAGAAGGUCUUCGGAUCGUAAAGUUCUGUUAUUAGGGAGGCGUUACCUAAUCAGAAAGCAACGGCUAACUACGUGCCAGCAGCCGCGGUAAUUC
rnacentral:rRNA from 1 species